CAGCCACCAGGAGCCCGUCCACCAGGAAGGCUAGGGGAACCCAGAGCCAGGUGUAUGGGGACAUCAGCCCCCCAAUUUGAGGACAGGGCCGGAGCAGAAGGGGCUGGAGAAUCUUCCUUUCAUCUAACAUAUUUAUUGAGCACCUACUAUGUACCAGGCCUUGUGCUAGACUCUGGGGAUAUGGAAAUGAGCAAAGUAGAUGUACCCCCGAAACUUGUGGACUAAUGGAGGAGACGGACCUUAAUCAGAUCGUCAUUCAAAGAUACUAUUACAAACUCAGCUCUAUUAUUUUCUUGCUGGGAGAAAAAGAAUCAGAGAUGCAGAGACCAAAACAAAAACAGGCAGAGAUAGAACGGACAGUAGACAAAAGAGAGAGAGACCGAGGCAGAGAUAGAGAAAAAAAGGCCCAGAGAGAGUCCCCUCAGGCCAACUUUGGUUUUCACUUCUCAGUUCUGAGAGCCGAGGAAGCAGGAAGGAGCUGUGAGAGACUGAGCUCUAACCUUGGCCAUCAAAGACAAGCUGUGCAGCUCUGGUUUUUUGAGGGCAGGACAUGGAGGGUCAGGCCCAGCUGGAGGCGCACCAAAGCCCAGAGAAAAUUCAGAACCACGUGAACUUGUUGGAUUUCAGCCCCUUGAAGCACAUGUUGCUAUUGCAGCUGCCUUGAUAACUGGGGGGACAGGAGGAGCACGGCUUUCCCAUCUUGUACGGGGACUCGCCAAUCCAGUUGCCCCUGGAAGAGAAAAGGACCCAGGGAGACAGAGGAGCAUUAGCCCCAGUGCCUUGUUUUCUCACCUUAAAUGAACACACCUUUGAGCAGAAAUAUAAUCUUUUUUCUCCAAACGUGAUUGUUGAGUGACCAUGAGUGAAAUCAGCUGAAGUGCUCAGAAAAAUACUCACUUCUGGUUUCCUAACAGGACUCAUUCAAUCAUUUAGUCAUUCAACAAACACUUCUGGAGCACCUAUUGAACAUCAGGAUUUGUGCCGGCUGCUGUCAGUCCACAGUUCUCAAAAGGCUACUAAUGACUUCAAGAACAUCAGAAUAAUACAAUAGAAAGAAUUUGGAAUUUGGAAUCAAAAGACUGAUUCUUCUGAACCAGCUCUACUACUUGUUGGCUUUGUGACAUUUGGUAAAUUACUCAACCUGCCUGAGCCUCAAUUUCUUAAUUUGUAAAAAGAAUGUCCUCCUAGGGUUCCCCCCUUUUUCCUUCUUUCUUUCAUCUCUUCAAUGAGAUAGUGUGAAAGUAGUUUGUAAAUGAUUAAAGGCUAUGUGACAGUAAAGAUAGAGUUUCACUCUUGUCAUCCAGGCUGGCUGGAUCUCGGCU
rnacentral:lncRNA from 1 species